GGCCUCCACACCCGCGGCGGGACGGAGACCCUUGUAAAGGCUGGUCAUGUGACCUCCCAGAAUCUGGGAGGUCAUGUGACCAGCCUUUACAAGGGCCUCCGUCCCGCCGCGGGUGUGGAGGCC
rnacentral:miRNA from 1 species